CAAAGUAAAGCUGAAUUAGUAAAGCGUCUCACUUACGUUGAGAAGACUUAUUGUGCAAAUCAAUAUACUUUGA
rnacentral:tRNA from 1 species